rnacentral:rRNA from 1 species
CCUACGGGGGGCUGCAGUGGGGAAUUUUGGACAAUGGGCGCAAGCCUGAUCCAGCCAUGCCGCGUGAGUGAAGAAGGCCUUCGGGUUGUAAAGCUCUUUCGGCGGGGAAGAAAUUGCUCAGGAUAAUACCUUGAGUAGAUGACGGUACCCGCAUAAGAAGCACCGGCUAACUACGUGCCAGCAGCCGCGGUAAUACGUAGGGUGCGAGCGUUAAUCGGAAUUACUGGGCGUAAUGUGUAAGUCAGAUGUGAAAUCCCCGGGCUCAACCUGGGAACUGCAUUUGAGACUGCAAGGCUAGAGUGUAGCAGAGGGGGGUAGAAUUCCACGUGUAGCAGUGAAAUGCGUAGAGAUGUGGAGGAAUACCGAUGGCGAAGGCAGCCCCCUGGGUUACUACUGACGCUCAUGCACGAAAGCGUGGGGAGCAAACAGGAUUAGAUACCCCUGUAGUC